rnacentral:rRNA from 1 species
AUUGAACGCUGGCGGCACGCCUAACACAUGCAAGUCGAGCGAGCGGCGGACGGGUGAGUAAUGUAUGGGAAACUGCGUGAUGGAGGGGGAUAACUAGUGGAACCGGUAGCUACUAGCGCAUACCAUCAGUUGUGCUGAGAUGGGCUUAGCUAGUAGGUGGGGUAAUGGCUCACCACGGCGACGAUCCCUAGCUGGUCUGAGAGGAUGACCAGCCACACUGGAACUGAGAAACGGACCAGACUCCUACGGGAGGCAGCAGUUGGGAAUAUUGGGCAAUUGGCGCAAGCCUGACGGAGCAAUGCCGCGUGUCUGAAGAAGGCCUUCGGGUUGUAAAACGCUUUCAGCGAGGAGGCGUUACUCCAACAAGAAGCACCGGCUAACUACGUGCCAGCAGCCGCGGUAAUAC